rnacentral:rRNA from 1 species
UACGGAAGGGGCAAGCGUUGUUCGGAUUUACUGGGCGUAAAGGGCGCGUAGGCGGCGCAACAAGUCACUUGUGAAAUCUCCGGGCUUAACCCGGAGCGGUCAAGUGAUACUGUCGUGCUAGAGUGCGGAAGGGGCUACUGGAAUUCUCGGUGUAGCGGUGAAAUGCGUAGAUAUCGAGAGGAACACCUGCGGUGUAGACGGCUUACUGGACCACCACUGACGCUGAGGCACGAAAGCGUGGGUAGCAAACAGG